rnacentral:rRNA from 1 species
UACGUAGGGGGCAAGCGUUGUCCGGAAUCAUUGGGCGUAAAGAGCGUGUAGGCGGCCCGGUAAGUCCGCUGUGAAAGUCCAGGGCUCAACCCUGGGAUGCCGGUGGAUACUGUCGGGCUCGAGUUCGGAAGAGGAGUGUGGAAUUCCUGGUGUAGCGGUGAAAUGCGCAGAUAUCAGGAGGAACACCAAUGGCGAAGGCAGCACUCUGGGACGUGACUGACGCUGAGACGCGAAAGCGUGGGGAGCGAACAGG